CUGGUUGAUCCUGCCAGUAGUCAUAUGCUUGUCUCAAAGAUUAAGCCAUGCAUGUCUAAGUCCAAGCUGUGUUUACACGGCGAGACCGCGGACGGCUCAUUAAAUCAGUCGUGGUCCAAAUGGGCCAGUCCAAUUUACUUGGAUAACUGUGGUAAUUCCAGAGCUAAUACAUGCAACUGAAACCCCGAUGCAGGGCCCGCUGCUGCGUCGCUUGCCGUCGUGCUUCUGGGACUCCCGCUGACGGGUGCUUUUAUUAGACCAAUCCGCUGGUGGCCGAGAUGCUUCCCACCCUGGUUCUUGUGCCUCAGGGUGCUUGCCUGGGCCCGGGUUCUCUCGGCCAGACUUGCUUUGUGGUGACUCUGGAUAACCAACUUGGCUGAGCGCACGUACCCGCCUCUGCGCGGGACGGCGCUGCCACUUUCGAGUGUCUGCCUUAUCAGCUGUCAAUCGUUCGUUAUACGCGACCGAUGGCUUUGACGGGUAACGGAGAAUCAGGGUUUGAUUCCGGAGAGGCAGCCUGAGAGACGGCUACCACGUCCAAGGACGGCAGCAGGCACGCAAAUUACCCAAUCCCAGCACCUGGGGGAGGUAGUGACGAAAUCUAACGAUGCGGGCGCCCUUCCAGGGCCCCGCAAUCGGAAUGGGCACUUUCUAAACAACCUGUUGAGAACCUACUGAAGGGCAAGUCUGGUGCCAGCAGCCGCG
rnacentral:rRNA from 1 species